UACGUAGGGUGCGAGCGUUAAUCGGAAUUACUGGGCUUAAAGCGUGCGCAGGCGGCGCGUUAAGACAGGUGUGAAAGCCCCGAGCUUAACUUGGGAAUUGCGCUUGUGACUGGCGUGCUGGAGUGUGGCAGAGGGAGGUGGAAUUCCACGUGUAGCAGUGAAAUGCGUAGAGAUGUGGAGGAACACCGAUGGCGAAGGCAGCCUCCUGGGCCAGCACUGACGCUCAUGCACGAAAGCGUGGGGAGCAAACAGG
rnacentral:rRNA from 1 species